AGGCACAGGAAUCGCUUGAACCCAGGAGGCAGAGGCUUCAGUGAGCCGAGAUCGUGCCACUGCACUCCAGUCUGGAUGACAGAGCGAGACCCUUUCUCAAAAAUAAAUAAAUAAAAUAAAAUAACAGGUAUAAAUUCACCCUUGAAAUAUAGAGCACUCUCAAAAACUGAAUUGACUCUUCCAGAAAUCGAAGCUCAUAUGACUAAAAUAAUUGCCCUCACCCAGGCAUGCCAACUUGUGCAAGUGAAGUAUGUAGUUAUGCUGGUAGUAAAGGGGCUUUUGUCCACAAAUUCAGAGUGCUUAGAGAACCCCAGGGGAGGAGCUCAGUGGGUGGAGUCUCCAGGGAUUUGCCUUGGAGGCUGUUGGGAGAGCAGGAGUGAGCGCCGUGAUUGGCUGGGACCUUGAUGUCACAAAGGUCAGGGACAGCUGCCAGAGAAUGAAGCAGAGGGCUGUGGGGUGAAGGGACUGCCAGUCUUCCGCCACUCCUUUUCAUGGUCCUUCCCUUCACUGCCUUCCUUCUCCCAGACACACUGGGCAUCCAGUUCCAACCCAAAGGCUGCCCCUUUGACCAGGCCCAUCUUCUCCACCUCACAUCAAACAGCCAAUCUGCUGCUCAGACCUUGAAACCUCAGUAACCUAGAAGAUGUCUACAAGUCAAUUGGGGUCAAGGAACAAGCCUCUACUCACAUGCACGUGGGCAAAUGAAGUCACAGAACAAAUAACCUACCCUGCAUCCAGGCACUGAGUCCAGGGACACCCCCUGCUGCUGCCUUACCUAAGAGAAAUCGGCCCAAGAAGCAUUGACCUCGUGCCUGCUGAAGCCAGGAGCCCUCUGCCACUGCCUGACACAAGCAUCCUGCACUCCCCUCUCCCAGACCCUUCCCGAAAGUGUGGGCCACAGGUGAUGUCCUUCAGCCCCCAGAAGGUCAUCCUCCAGUCUGUGACCGUCACACUGGGGUCCUGCAUGGGGUCCUCACAGGCCUUCAGCCCAGCACAAAUCAUGGCCUGGUUUGACCUUUGAAAUAUCUCAACAUCUAAAAUUCAGAGCUUUUUUGGAAUAUUUAUUUUCCAUAGAUAUAAUUCUUUCAAAUAAAUUCCUUAGAAAACAA